rnacentral:rRNA from 1 species
UGGUGGAGUGAUUUGUCUGGUUAAUUCCGAUAACGAACGAGACUCUGUCCUGCUAACUAGGUUGUGUUUUCUCGGGUUGGUGUUUCUGGUGUUCCUACUCGGGGCGCCGGCCCAAUCCACUUGUGAACACAACACUCUUCUUAGAGGGACUGGCGGCUGUUAGCCGCACGAGAUAGAGCAAUAACA